AACGAACGCUGGCGGCAGGCCUAACACAUGCAAGUCGAGCGCGCCCUUCGGGGUGAGCGUCGGACGGGUGAGUAACGGGAGGGAACGUUCACUCUUCUACGGAAUAGCUUCGGGAAAGUGAGAACAAUAGCGAACACGACCUAUGGCGGAAAGAUAUAUCGGAAAAGGUUGGGCCCGCGUUGGAUUAGGUAGUUGGUGGGGUAAUGGCCUACCAAGCCGACGAUGCAUAGCUGGUUUGAGAGGAUGACCAGCCACACUGGGGCUGGGACCCGGCCCAGACUCCUACGGGAGGGGGCAAUGGGGAAUGUUAGACAAUGGGGGCAACCCUGAUGUUGCCAGGCCGCGUGAGUGAUGUAGGCCUUAAGGUUGUAAAGCUCUUUCAACUGUGAAGAUAAUGACGGUACCUGCAGAGGAAGCCACGGCUAACUCCGUG
rnacentral:rRNA from 1 species